rnacentral:tRNA from 1 species
UCCGGUAUGGUGUAUCGGUCAACAUUUCGCGUUUUCAAUCAUUGAAUGUCGCGAAGCGCAGGGUUCGAUUCCCUGUACCGGAG